rnacentral:rRNA from 1 species
GAAUUGUUUAUCUUGAUAAUUAUUUGUAGUUAGUUUUGUUAGUACGAAAGGAAAAUUAUAAAAAGUUAGCAACUUUUAGGGAUAUUAAUAGUUCG